CAGGAGUGCCAGUGAGAGCAAGAGGGGGGCUCCCCUAGGUUGUUUGGGCCACCCUCAGGAGAGGGGCACCUGGCAAAGACGGACUGUAUUCAGGUUCCUGCUUUGAGUUCCUUCCCUGAUUUCCCUCCGUGACAGAUUGCUACCUGCAAGUAAUGGAAUUGAACUUGGUUGAAUUGCUUUAUGAAGAGGUGACUCCUUGCAUCACCAGCUGAGUAGCAUUUGAUUCAAAGACGAAAAUGCAUUUGGUCCAGAUCCCAGGGCUCAGGUUAAUGUAGGCACCGAGCUCUUGAAUACAUAAUACGACUGACUGUGGAUUUAUCCUCUUAGGGCUUCUCUAGUCAGAGAAGCUGGGAGAGGAGCAGUUAGACAGUGGUGCACCCAAGCUGGCUACUUCUGACUCCAAAGAGUUGGUUAUGUGUGACUCCUUCUAUCGUUACACUCAGGCAUGUUGCUCUGGUCACUAGAAACUGACCACAGUGGGAACGUUUACACCAAGGAGAUCUGCAGACACGACAGUUGAUGUCUCCCUUUGUCCUGCCAUGCCCUAUGAGGUCCGAUUUACUAGCUUGGAGAAGAAGAUAGAGAAAAGUUGGUAUUGGGGUCCCUUGCUUUCAAAACUCAAGAAAAAGAGGGAGAGACAAACUGGAAGUCUCAAAUAGCACCGUGUGUGGGGAGCACAGGUGAAGACUGGUUGGAAAAAUGUUGAUAAGCAGGAACAAAUUUCAAACAGUUGGGUUUCCUGGUAACAGAGGCUGUUAACAACCUUCCCAACAGCCAUUUUCCCUUCUUCCCAGGCACCAAUAUCCUGGGUUGACCUGUGUUCAGCAAAGGAUUGCAUUCCCUGCCUUUCUCAGCAGUCCGAGAUGGCCAAAAGUUGUAAGUGUAAAAGCCACACUUGUUGGCCCAAAUAAAAAUGUCUCUUGCUGCAGGGUUCUUGGGAUAUCUCACAAUGCAGUGCCCAGGUGCUUUGUGUCUCAAUGAGCUGAGCCAGAUAUAAGUUACUGGGCAAUCAAGAUUCCCUUUUAAGAGAGACGAAUUCUUUAUUCAAGUUACCACUAUCAGCAAAACAACCAGUUACGAAUACUGGUUGGUCCAAUGGAGCACUUUUACAUGUUUCCUGUACAGUAGCAAAAUGCAGUAAGGGUUUUAUAAGUACGUGUCAAGGCAUUUAUGCUCAUUCUCCCAGCCCCCAGAGAUAAAAGCAACAUGUUGAGGCUGGGUUUAUUCUGAAUCAGUUUCGACUGAGCCACUUGAUCCUGGCUUGUAAGGGCAGCGUCAUUCAAGGUACAUGGCAAGAGACAGGGGGAGGAAAAUUGCUAUGAGCUUGGUUCAUUUAGAGCUGCAGGGCAUCAGAGCUGGCAGGCAUCUAGCAGGCUCUGCUGCCACGGAGCAAAUAAACAAGAACUAAUGAGAACCUACUAUGUGCCAAACAAGACUUUUCUCACCUAAUCUCCACAGCAAACCUCUUGUCAUGAGUACAGUGUCUGACUUGAUUUACUGGUGAUUACAUUCUUCCAGAAAAUAAAUUAUUUGUCCAAAGCCACACAGCUAAGAAGAGAGUUUGAAUUUGAACUUGAACCCACCGAGCACCAGAGCACCAGGAGUACCACUUUGCUCUAGUCUGUUUCAUGCUGCCUUUUGGUGGAGGCAGUGUGAGGGAAGCAAGGGCUGACCCACAUUCCAUUUGAGUGGAGAAGCGUGCUCACAUGCCGCAGUCCCAGAGCCAUGGAGAGCUGUGCUCUGUGGAGAAGAGUCUGUGUCUGGGGCAGGAAGGUGGCCCUCCAUACUUCUGUCCUCUGAUUCUAAGACAGAAUACUUACAUGUUCCCAUCUCCCUGCAACUCACAAUGUGGCCAAGGGAUUGAGUUCUAUCAAAGUAGAUGCAGAUGGAAGAAGGAAUGCUGCUAUCCUGUCCAACCCUCAGGAGUACCAUUCACAUCACGAGGAGGCUGUGAAUAGAAAGGAUGCUAGAACCUGAAAUAGAAGUAGAAAGGGUGCUAUAGUCUCAAAAAGAAGAAACUGAUUUCUCCUGAACCAUCUUUGGAUCCCGAGAGAAUGGUGUAUGAAGGGACAAAGGUGAGAGGAGUCUGCAUCUAUGAUAUUGAAGACCAGCCAGCCACCAGCUUCUGCUUUGAGAUAUAUCAACAGAGAGAUCAACAGGGAUAAAAUCACAAAGGCACUUCUCAGUACCAUGGGUACAGUCCUCUGCUGUCCGGAAGAUGCGUGGCUCACAAGACCUACCUAUACAUACAUACAGUGAACACCUUAGACUUUUGUGUCAGACUAUGUCUUCCAAUGACCUAUAGGCACUUAGAAUUCUUCAUUUGGUUCCAUGAGGCAGGAUAAGAACUUGGUGUCUCUGCCUUCAUUUAGAACCUGGUUCCCUUUCUUUGGGUCGCCUGCUCACCUCAGCAUGCAGGGAUGAUAGUCACCCAAGGAAUGUCUAUCUAGAAACCCUAGAUGCCUAGCUAAUUUUACUCUCUUUCAAGGCCAAAGGCACAAAGGUAAGAAUCGCAGAGGUCUUUUACGACAUCCUGUUCGGGAUCCUCAAGGGCAUCCAAAGUCUUAUCAUUGUCCUAAGUCUGUAGUUACCUCUGAUUGGAGGAACGGCAGAGCCUUGCACCGACAGAGCACCUCCCAAAUGAAGGAAGUCAUCUAUCAUAGGGAGGUGUCCUGGAGCAGAGGUAAUCAUCCCAUGGUCACCAGGUUGCUUCUCCGGAGUGAUAAGGUCUUCUUUGGACCAUCCCGUAGAACCAGAACUGGGCAAACGCAUCCAGACCACACCUUAACCAGAGUGGCUUAAUUAUGGUCCCGCUUUCCCCCUGCCCCAUGUUUAAACCUAAAGCUCUACUCAGUUCCCUAAAGAUGGACUUGGAGUCAUGUGGUUCCUUUAUCUGUUCCCCUUCCCAAUAUAAAUAUGGAUCAAAAGACCUCUCUCUGCUUUUUAUAUCAGUAUUCACCCUCUUAACUGGUUUGUUGGGACAGGAGGCUGAGCUCAACCUGCUGGGGCUUUUGCCCUAAAACUUUGUUAACACCUCUAUAAUGCUUAGCAGAGCAUGUGAACCUACAGUAGUCUCACUGCAAACAUGGAAUGGAUGGAUGUGUAGGUGUGUGGGUGGAUGCUGAAGACCAGGGCCUUGGAUAAGGAUGAGCCGAAGAAGUAAACUGCUGCAGUAUGCUUCCUGCACGGCUCCACGGAGCAUGAAAGAGUCUUGAUCUUCAAAGAGUUCCUGAUCUAUGGUGGAAACACAUUUAAAUACCUAACUGUUAUCUAGUGUGAUAAAAACCUGCUAUUGACAAACGAAGAUAGAAGAGUGAGCAGCUGUCAACAGAGGGAGGUGACCUUACAAAUGUCAUGCAAGAAUACUUGAAUGAAGUCUUACUGGGAUUCUGGUUUUUGAAUGAGACAGAGAUGUGGGGGAGGAAGAAGAACAAAUGUUCCACAGCAAAAGAGAGGGAAUGGGCCAGAGUGUGGGGACUUGAAAAGGACACAGAAAAGCAUGAUUCUGGAGUGUUGGAGAAGAUGAGAAAGAAGCAGGAGAUGAGCCAGAUGAUGGGAGUCAGGAUCAUCUCGGGUGCCAUGUUGGAUGGACUGGACACCAUCCUAGAGUCUGGGACAUUCAAGGUAAGACUGAGAAAUAUUCACAAGGGUCAAGCAGAUUAUGCACAUCAAGGAAGGGAGCUAUGUGGGAGCUGGGAAGCUCAGGAGUGCAGGACCAUAUCCAAAAGUGGUCGUCAAUUCUCAUGUCAGAGUAUAGGCUUUGUGUAGUCAAGUUUCUCUCCUUCCUUCCUUCCUUCCUUCCUUCCUUCCUUCCUUCCUUCCUUCCUUCCUUCCUUCUCUCCUUUCUCUCUCUCUCCUCUCUCUCUCUCUCUCUCUCUCUCUCUCUCUCUCUCCUUCCUUUCCUUCCUUCCCUCCUUCCUUCUUUUUUUAAAGAAAAGUCAAAAGCCUACAUUUUGAGGUGAAUUCUUUCAGUUUGUAAACACUGACAGCUAUUUCAAAGCUUUAUGCUGGCCAAGCAAAAAUAUCUAUCUGAUUCUUCCUCAAUCCUUGGGCCUUCAGUUUGGUAUUUUAAGUUGAAAGCAUCUAGGCAGAGAUGUUAUCCAACCCAAAUCGUGUUUCAGAGAAGAAGCCAGCCCUGCAGUAUGUGACUCUAAUCCCAGGUACUUAGGAGGCUGAGGCUGGAGGACCCUAAGCUCAUGGCUAGCUUGAGCAACUUAGUAAAACCCUACUCAAGAUUAAAUAUAGGGGCAAGAGAGAUAGCAGACUCAGUGAAGCUUCCCAAGCAAGCAUGAGAACCUGCAUUUUGACCCCAGCACCCAAGUUGGACAUAGUAUCGUGUGUUUGUAAUCCUGGCACUGGGGAAAUGAACACAGGCAGAUCUCUGGGGCUUUCUGGUUAACCAGCUAAGCCUGAUUGGCAAGCUCUAGGCCAGUAAAGAGCCUCUGUCUCAAAAUAAAAUAG